rnacentral:lncRNA from 1 species
UCCGAGGUUCAAAGCAGGUGGCUCAUUUCCUUUUCAUCAUUUUUCAUUUUUGUUUACCUCUGUUUUCUCAGAUACUGGCCAGGAGUGAAAUUGGAAGAGCUAGAAAUACCAUCAGGAAAUAUGAAAAAAAUGGAUUGUCAAGACUCGCCCUCUACUUGCAUGAAUCUCACCAGUAACUUGAAUGGACAAAUAGCUAAAUACACUAAAUGUGUAUCAGCCCUGUUGGACAUUUUGUGUCAGGUUCUGGACACAAAUUCUGGAAGAAGAUGAGCUCUGUGCAGAAGAUAUCCUGUGAUCAAGGAGGCAGAUGUAUGAGCUGUGCUGGCAAUAGAGCCCAGUGUGACCCAGCGCCGUGUGGUGACAACAGCUGGUGGCCCUGCAGGGCUGGCUGUCCCCAUGCCUGCCCAGUCCCCUGCCCGCUGGGGGUGUCCGGAGCUGUGGCCUGGAGCUGCUGGAGGACUCGGGCUUUAUCUCUGUGCCAGGUGAUCCCAGCUGGGUGCUGGGCCAGCGCUGGUUGGUAA